rnacentral:SRP_RNA from 1 species
GCUGGGUGUGGUGGCGCACGCUUGUAAUCCCAGCUACUCGGGAGGCUGAGACAGGAGAAUCACUUGAACCCGGGAGAUGNNGUUGCAGUGAGCCAAGAUCGUGCCACUGCACUCCAGCCUGGGUGACAGAGUGAGACUCUGUCUCAA